GAUGAACGCUGGCGGCGUGCCUAAUACAUGCAAGUCGAGCGAACGGACGAGAAUCUUGCUUCUCUGAUGUUAGCGGCGGACGGGUGAGUAACACGUGUAUAACCUACCUAUAAGACUGGGAUAACUUCGGGAAACCGUAGCUAAUACCGGAUAAUAUUUUGAACCGCAUGGUUCAAAAGUGAAAGACGGUCUUGCUGUCACUUAUAGAUGGAUCCGCGAUGCAUUAGCUAGUUGGUAAGGUAACGGCUUACCAAGGCAACGAUGCAUAGCCGACCUGAGAGGGUGAUCGGCCACACUGGAACUGAGACACGGUCCAGACUCCUACGGGAGGCAGCAGUAGGGAAUCUUCCGCAAUGGGCGAAAGCCUGACGGAGCAACGCCGCGUGAGUGAUGAAGGUCUUCGGAUCGUAAAACUCUGUUAUUAGGGAAGAACAUAUGUGUAAGUAACUGUGCACAUCUUGACGGUACCUAAUCAGAAAGCCACGGCUGACUACGUG
rnacentral:rRNA from 1 species